CCGUUAGGUAGUUGCAAUGACUGCUUAAUAGUUUCUCCUCUAUUUCUCCUUUGUAGACUUGGCACACAUUCUUGAGAAUGUGUGCAUUUUU
rnacentral:ncRNA from 1 species